UCCGAGCGCCUGGACCGGGAUGGCGGCCGUUUUGGAGUCGUUGCUGCGAGAGGAGCUGUCGGUCGCAGCCGCUGUGCGGUGGAUCGCGCGCAGCGCCCAGAGUUCGGAGGAUGACCCCGGGGAGGCGGCCGCGCUGAUCUCACUUCGGCCGCUGCGGAAGGAAUUCGUGCCAUUCCUGCUGAACUUCCUGAGGGAACAGAGCAGCCGCGUCCUCCCGCAGGGCCCCCCAACCCCCGCCAAGGCCUCGGGCUCCUCGGCAGCCUUGCCAGGGAGACCCGGGGGCCCGCCGCGGGGUGGCCGCGGGGCGCGCAGCCAGCUCUUCCCUCCGACCGAGCCUUCGAGCCCCACCGCCGCUGAGGCCCCUUCGGCCCGCCGUGGGGGCAGGAGGCGGGGCCCGGGGCCGGCCCGUGAGCGAGGAGGCCGCGGUCCCGGGGCCCUGGAGGAGGGGGUCAGCGGGGAGAGCCUGCCCUGGGCCGGGGGCCGGAGGCCCAAGAGCUCUGGCAGCCCCGGCAGCCCCAGCCUCGCGCGCUCUGAUCCGCCAAACCUCAGCAACCUGGAGGAAUUCCCUCCCGUAGGCUCGGUUCCCCCCGACUCUGCAGGCAGGACCAAGCCUUCACGCAGGAUCAACCCAACUCCGGUGAGCGAAGAGCGGUCACUCUCCAAGCCCAAGACUUGCUUCACCUCACCCCCAAUCAACUCUGUCCCCAGUUCCCAACCCUCAGUCCUGGACACUAGCCCUUGGGGCCAUAGCCUUUCCCCAGGGUGCAGAAGUCUGCAAGAGGAGCGGGAGAUGCUCAGGAAGGAGCGCUCUAAGCUGCUGCAGCAGUCACCUGCUCCCGCCUGUCCCACCCCAGAAUCAGGAUGUCCUCACCCCAGCCGAACAGGAAACCUCACAGCUGAACCCGCUGACCCUGCCAGAGUAUCCUCCCGUGAGCGUCUGGAGCUGGUAGCCCUUGUCUACUCUUCAUGCAUUGCAGAAAACCUGGUACCAAACCUCUUCUUGGAGCUUUUCUUCGUCCUUCAGCUCCUUACCGCCCGGAGGAUGGUGGCUGCCAAGGACAGUGACCUUGAACCAAAUCCAGGAGCCGUAGAUUCCCUGGAAAGCCCUCUGUUCCAGAGUGUCCAUGAUUGUGUCUUCUUUGCAGUGCAGGUUUUGGAGCAUCAGUUUCACGUUCUUUCCCACCUGGACAAAGGGACCUUGAAGCUGUUGGCUGAGAAUGAACGGCUACUGUGCUUCUCACCAGUUCUGCAAGGCCACCUGCGAGCUGCCUACGAGGGCAGUGUUGCCAAGGUCUCUCUGGCGAUGCCACCUUCUGCACAAGCUGUCUCCUUUCAGCCAGAAACUGACAAUCGUGCCAACUUCUCCAGUGAUCGAGCCUUUCAUACUUUUAAAAAACAGAGGGAUGUGUUUUAUGAGGUGCUUCGAGAGUGGGAAGAUCGCCAUGAAGAGCCUGGCUGGGAUUUUGAGAAGGGCUUGGGCAGCAGGAUCAGAGCCAUGAUGAGUCAACUCUCUGCAGCCUGCAGCCACAGCCAUUUUGUUCGACUUUUCCAAAAACAACUUCUCCAGAUGUGUCAGAGUCCUGGUGGUGCUGGGGGCACUGUCUUGGGCGAGGCUCCAGAUGUGUUAAAUAUGCUUGGAGCUGACAAGCUGGGGCGGUUGCGGCGCCUGCAGGAACGGCUUGUGGCCCCUCAGAGCAGUGGGGGGCCCUGCCCACCCCCCACCUUCCCAGGCUGUCAGGGCUUCUUCAGGGACUUCAUCUUGAGUGCCAGCAGCUUCCAGUUUAAUCAGCAUCUCAUGGAUAGCCUGAGUUUGAAGAUCCGGGAGCUCAACAGCCUUGCCCUGCCUCAGCCUGAGCCCAGUGAUGAAGACGGGGAAUCAGACGUGGACUGGCAGGGUGAACGGAGGCAGUUUGCUGUGGUGCUGCUCAGCCUGAGGCUUCUGGCUAAAUUCCUGGGCUUUGUGGCUUUCCUGCCAUACCGGGGGCCCGAACCACCCCCGACCCGUGAGCUCCAGGACACCAUUCUGGCCCUGAGGAGCCAGGUGCCCCCGGUCCUGGAUGUGCGGGCUCUGCUGCAGCAGGGGCUGCGGGCCCGGCGAGCAGUGCUCACGGUGCCCUGGCUGGUGGAGUUCCUUUCCCUGGCUGACCACAUCGUCCCCAUGCUGGACUAUUACCGCAGCAUCUUCACUCUCCUGCUGCACCUGCAUCGGAGCUUGGUCUUGUCAAAGGAGAGUGAAGGGGAGAUGUGUUUCCUGAACAAGCUGCUGCUGCUGGCUGUCCUGGGCUGGCUUUUCCAGAUUCCUACAGUCCCUGAGGACCUGUUCUUUCUGGAAGAGGGUCAGUUGGAUGCCUUUGAGGUGGACACAGUAGCUUCAGAGCAUGGCUUGGACAGCAUGCCUGUGGUGGACCAGCACCUGCUCUACACUUGCUGCCCCUAUAUUGGAGAGCUCCGCAAACUGCUCGCCUCCUGGGUAUCAGGAAGCAGUGGACGGAGUGGGGGCUUCGUCAGGAAAAUCACCCCCACCACCACCACCACCGGCCUGGGAGCCCAGCCUCCCCGGACCACCCAAGGGCUGCAGGCACAGCUGGCUCAAGCCUUUUUCCACAACCAGCCACCCUCCCUGCGCAGGACCGUGGAGUUCGUGGCAGAGAGAAUCGGCUCGAACUGUGUCAAGCAUAUCAAGGCCACGCUGGUGGCAGAUCUGGUGCGCCAGGCAGAGUCGCUUCUUCAAGAGCAGCUGGUGACGCAGGGACAGGAAGGGGGAGAUCCAGCCCAACUGUUGGAGAUCUUGUGUUCCCGGCUGUGCCCUCACGGGGCCCAGGCAUUGACCCAGGGGCGGGAGUUCUGCCAAAAGAAGAGCCCUGGUGCCGUGAGGGCAUUGCUCCCUGAGGAGACCCCGGCAGCUGUUCUGAGCAGUGCAGAGAACAUUGCUGUGGGGCUUGCAACAGAGAAAGCCUGUGCUUGGUUGUCAGCCAAUGUCACAGCGCUGAUCAGAAGGGAGGUGAAAGCGGCUGUGAGUCGCAUGCUUCGAGCCCAGGGUCCUGAGCCAGCUGCCCGGGGGGAGCGGAGGGGCUGCUCCCGUGCCUGUGAGCACCAUGCUCCCCUCCCCUCCCACCUCAUCUCCGAGAUAAAAGAUGUGCUCUCUUUGGCCGUGGGGCCCCGGGACUCUGAGGAGGGAGUUUCCCCAGAGCAUCUGGAGCAGCUUCUAGGCCAGCUGGGCCAGAUGCUGCGGUGUCGCCAGUUCCUGUGCCCACCUGCUGAGCAGCAUCUGGCAAAGUGCUCUGUGGAGUUAGCAUCCCUCGUUGUUGCAGAUCAAAUUCCUGUCCUAGGGCCCCCGGCACAGCAGCAGCUGGAGAGAGGGCAGGCUCGAAGGCUCCUGCUCAUGCUGGUUUCCCUGUGGAAGGAGGACUUUCAAGUGCCGGUUCCGCUGCAGCUGCUGCUGAGGCCAAGAAACGUGGGGCUUCUGGCAGCCACUCGGCCGAGGGAGUGGGACCUGCUGCUGUUCUUGCUCCGGGAGCUGGUAGAGAAAGGUCUGAUGGGACGGAUGGAGAUAGAGACCUGCCUAGGCAGCCUCCAUGAGGCCCAGUGGCCAAGGGAUUUUUCUGAAGAAUUAGCAACACUGUUCAACCUGUUUCUAGCUGAACCCCAUGUGCCACAACCUCAGCUAAGAGCUUGUGAGCUGGUGCAGCCAAACCGGGGGACUGUGCUGGCCCAGAGCUAGGGCUGGGAAGCGGCCCUACCUUGGGCAUCUCGCCAGAGCGCUGGAACCCAGCCUGACUGUGCCUCAGGAGGAGGCCCCAGAGCCACCCCAAGUGCCCACCCUGACCCUUGCUGGUGUGGAAGUAGCUCAGUCUGUCAUCAGGCUUCCUGCUCACAUGCAAAGGAAGAGAGUGGCAGCCUGGCAUUCCCGUGACUGUGGGCUCACCAUCCCAAGUCCUAAAGGAAGCAGGAGGGGGUCACCCGAUUCAGGAUUAUGGUGGAAGAACCUAGAGACUCCAGUCCUGGAGAAGAGUUGGCAUUUAUUAUGAAAUGAUGUGUGGGGGCUUGUCGGCACAAGAUUCAAGCCCCACUUGCUGCUGUCCCAGCAUCUCUUAGAGCUUUGUGGUUUGGGAAAUCAUGACUGACAGAGGGAAGUGACUUCUGCUUAACUUGUGUGGCUGAACGAAAGCACUGCCCCAGGAAGCUGAGCCCCGAGAAAUUUACCUUUUACCACAUCUUCUCAAUCCCCAUAUGGUCGCCCUCUUCCACCAAAGACUCUGGGCACCAGAACUGAAGCUGAGAAUCUCUCCGACCCCUACACUUCAGAAUAGAAGGGGCUACAGCAGUGCGUGGAGUGCUCAAGGCUGGGACCAAAUCUCUGAGUGAGUGGAGCUGACUGCUGGAGCACAUUCUGAGCAGAGUCUUGGCCAAUGGCUCCUGCUUCCCUACCAGCCCCAGGGCUGCGCCGAACUAAGUAAGCACCAUGUCAGAGCACUGCAGGCUCCCAGCUCUGCUGGCUGUGUCCAGUCCUGAUCCUUGAGUGGCCUGUAUGCCAUAGGGUCCCAGAGACGGGCAAAAAAGGUGAGAAAUCCAAAAAGGUGAGUUGAGCUUCAUUCACUCUGGACAGCUGGGAGCUCAGGCCCCCGCGCUCUGCAGAGGUGCCAGCUGUGACCAAGUACUGACUAGGUUUCGCUGGCAACUCACGGAUGAGUGCUGUCUGCCCAGUUGGCCACAGCAGGUAGCCUCGGCUCUUCUUAACAUCAGGAUACAGAGAGUAACAAGAGCUGCCCCAGCAUCCCUGGGGUGUCCUGGAGCACCAUCUUGACCGUGAGAUGCUAACUACCAAGGAAGGAAGCCAGUCUGGCUAUAACCAGCGGCUGCUGUUUGAUGAAGGAGCUUAGGAGCUGAGGGGGGAAUCCUGGAGCACCAAGUUCUACCUGAAAUAAACCAGAAAGGGAAGAGUUAAAGGUGCAGACAGACCCAGGAGAGUGCACCGGGGCACACUUCAGCCAUAAGCAGCCACCCCAGGUUGCUGUGAUUGGAGAGGCUCUGAACUGAACUGUCUACAGCCCUGUGCUCUGCUGUUCAGAUCUAGGCAAAAGCUUCACUUCCCAAUGACAAAAGGUCACGUCAGGGAACUGAGGGUGCUGCUCUGCCUCACAAUGACUCAUCUAUCUCCUGAGGACCCUGGGAACAGCCAGAGGAUGUAGGCCGCCAGGCUCUGUGAGGGGCUGCAGGAUCCAGGCACUGGGCAGGAUCUCCCCUCGGACCAUCUCCCUGCUGGGUCUCGGCAUGGACGCAUCAUACACAGACUGAGCUGCCAUGAUAGACAGUUGCCCCUGGAAACAGAGCAAUAGUCGGCUACAGGAAACCUCACAUCAGCCAUAGAGAUGUCCACGAUGUGCUUGGCCAAAUCCUUGGAGGAGGAGGAGAAGGAGGUCCCCAGGCUGGACAGACUGUACGGAGAACAGCAGCAACUGCCCAAGGAGGCUCUGCGGCCUACAAUGAACAGGUGGAGACUCUUGAGACGGCAUGAGCAUCAGGGCCUCAGGGCAGCAACGGCCUCCUUCAAUAAUAAUGUCCCUCCUCCUGAGGGACAAUGGCUCCCUAGGAUCUAGCAGACCUCAGCCCCAAAGUCCCCACACCAGGUAGGUAGCUCUGCCCCACCACUCACUGCAGGCUGAGGUUUUCCAGGCAGAGCCGGCCAGGUUCAGCUGACUGUUCCUCACUGCAGAGCGGCCCCACACCUCCCCUAUCCAGGAGUCUCUGGAAUCAGGCAAGUUUGUGUCCCCCUGCAGAAGAGAAGAUGCUCAGGACCAGAGCAGAGGCAGGGAGAGAGCAGAGCACCAGAAAGCCAGUGCAGAAUUAUCUCCUCUGCCUCUGAACAGCACCAAACAGCUUUCAACAUAAAGGCUCAAGUGAAAAGGUGUUCCCUGCUGGAUGCCCUUGAGAAGUCAACCGCAAUAGAAACCAGUCCCCUGGAGAGUUUCCUUGCCCUUCAAGCCACACGCUCAAGGUUGCUUGUAGGAGAGUUCCAACAGGAAUCAGAAUGAACUGGGACCUGAGACGAUGGGGUACCAGGGGUCAGUGAGUGGGGGGGCCCUCUGCGCCACUGCAGCAACAGGAAUGAGGCCAUGGCUGGAGCUCUGUUUAAUGUGGGCAGCAAACAAAGCCCAACUGGGAGGUGGGAGGUGGGAUGGGGAAGAAAAGUGACGGGCUGUGAGAAAAGCUUGACCCUGGGUCCCAGCCCCAGGUACAGCAGCUGAGCCAAAGGUCCUAAUUUGGAACCAAAUGGGGAUGAUCCUCUCGAUUUGCAAUACAGCCACCACACCUUUACUACAAGCAGCUUCUCAAUGACAUGACCCUUGACCUCUGCUGGAUCUAACAGGCAUCCACUAUCCUACCUCUAUCAUCGGUUCCUAACCUAGUGUUACUUUUAAAAAAAAGUGAACAAAGAUAUUCUGUCUCCAUCCCUACGUCCUUUCUUCCUGCUGCAGCAUCCAAGUGGUCUCUCCUACUUCAGGCAGAUUUUUGUGCCACCUUCUCAAGAACCUUUCACUACUGAUCUCUUUCUUCACUUAUUGCCUCCACCUCUCCUUCUUCACUAGAUUCUUCAUAUCAGCAUUUAAGCAUGCAAAAAUUUCUCCCACCUUUAAAAACUUUCCUCUACAGGCAUCUUUGCUCUUUUGUCCUUUACAGAUAAACUUGAAAUGACUGUCACCGUUUGCCAUCUCCCACCUCUUAUACCCUUCUGAAUGCACUCAAAUCUAGCCUUUGCUAGAUCCAUGUGCCUGGAUGUGGUGAACAGGUCCCAGUCCUCAUCUUAACUGAGCAUCUCCCUUUCACUUGCUUCCUGAAUCCCUGGGAUCUUGGCUUUCUGUCUCUCUGGGUGUUCCUUCCCAGUUUCUUUUGUUGGCUCAUCUUCCCCAAACAUAAGUUGAUUUAUUGGGAUUCUUUCAAGACUCGGGCCUAGGCCCUCUUCUCGCUCUAUAAUAUACUCCUCUGUGAUCCCAUCUGUUCCCAGUGCUAUACUGAUGACUUCCAAAAGUAAAUAUGUGUGGAUUAAUCAAUAAAUAUUGUGAGACGACAGGGUCACCGUCUGAAGAAAAGGUUACAUCAGACCCAUUUCACACAUCUUGCCAAAACAAAUUACUUAUGCUUUGUGGCUCAAAAAUAUACAGGGUGGGGGAGAAUUUAAUAAUACUAUGAGAAAAUUUUUUUAAAAAUUUAAUGAUCUCAUAGUGCAGAAAUGCCUUCCUAAACAGGGCACAAACUCCAGAGGCCAUGAAAGAAAAGACUGAUAAAAACUAGAUUAACAUAUCAUAAAAACAACUGGGAAAAAAACCCACUGGCCUCUCAAAUGGCAAAAGGAUAACUGUCUUAAUAUAAGGAAAGGCCACCAAAAACAAAAGAACCUAACAGAAAUGGACCCAGUACACUGGCAGGCAGAGCAAAAAGCCAAAGGGCUCUUAAAUAUCUGAAAAGGCACUCCAUCUCAGACACAAGAGAAUUGCAAAUUAAAACUAAAAUGAAAUACUAUUUUAUGCCUAUAAGAUUCACAAAGAUUGAAGGAAAAAACCCUUAAUAAACACUGUUAAGCAGAAAUGUGGGUAAGUAGGCACUUAUAUAUUGUUAUUUGAGAGUGUAAAUAGGUAUAUUUUGAAAAUAUUCAUCACAUAUUUUAAAUUAAAAAUACAUAUAUCCUUUGACACCUAGCAAUCCUGCUUCUAGGUAUUUAAUUACAGAUAUUCUUUCAUUUAAGUGGCAAUAAACAUUUUCAAAUAUGAACUCAGAGAACCUAGAGAAUAUAGUGCGCUUGAGUCUUUCUUGAAGAAAUUACAAGAAGAAUUACUAGGGUAGAAAAAAGAAUGUACACCAAAGAACUGCAAAUGAGCAGAGUCCAUUUGAUCUAGCACGAGAACUAGAACUCUGAAUACAAACACUGUAAAUAGUAUAGAAAUACCGUAACAAAAGGUAAUGAGAAAAAAUGAGAGAAGGUGGAAAUACACUGAUUUCCUCAUGUUUUACAGCCAGGGUGAAAAGAAAACUGCUAAAUCAAGAAAUAAAGACUAUUUAAAUAUACAAAAGUAAUGAUGAAAAGAAAAGAAAGGAAAAAAAAAAGGCUUCCAAAUUACCAGAAAGAAGACACAUAUAUACCCCCAAAGCAAGGAAAACACAGACCACAAAGAAGAUAAACAAGAUUUUUAGAAGCCAAUGGAAUAUUCAU